rnacentral:tRNA from 1 species
AGAAAAAUACCUUAUCUAAAGGGUAGCUAUGAUAAAGCUAACAAAGUAUAUAUUACUUUUUUCUA